ensembl:lncRNA
AUCUUCCUUGAUAAGUUUAUUAUUUCCUGUCCUGCCCACACUGGACUAAUAAACCGACCUUCAGCUGGGUUACUCCCUCCUCUGGUGGGCCUGGAGGUCAUGCUAUCCAGUGAGAAAUUACCCUCAACGGCUGCAGUUGUUAUACAAAAGCUGCCCAAUGGUUUCCAAGAGCUGAUAAAUUCGGGAGGCAGAUGAGGAUUGAAGUCUUCGCCAGCCUUCUAAAACCACAAAAAGUCUCAGCUUUUGGGAUGAGGAUGAGUAAUAGGAGGGACCCACGCCUGGCUUGGCCUCCUCCGUAUCAUAGAAUCAUAGAAUGGCCUUGGUAGAAAAGGACCACAAUGAUCAUCUGGUUUCAACCCCCCUGUUAUGUGCAGAGUCGCCAACCACCAGACCAGGCUGCCCAGUUACAGUGGUUUUCUAUCCAGAAGUUAACUGAAGGAUGUUAUGCCCACUGGGUCAGCAUCAAGUUUCAAGUCAUCAGGGACCAGCGUUUUAGGCUGUAAUUAUUUCCUUCCUUGCAGUGCUUAUCUCCUUGCACUGACUGGAGAGAGGGUUUCGCCACCACUCCAAACUAGCUGAGAAAUGAAUCAAUAUCAGUGAAUGACAGUGCAAGACUGCAUCCAACCAUACAUCCAACACCCUGCUAUAAGAGUGGGUAAAAGCAGAUGCUCAGGGAAGAGAAAGUGGAAAUAUUCAGCAUCCUCAACACUUUGCAGCAAGAAGUUCCACUGCUCUUGCAAAGAAAAAAACUCCAUUUGAGUUCGUUUUUAACUGAACUGAUCUGUCAUUAGCUUCCUUCAAUGGCCCUUCCUCUUCAAUGGCAAAAAGUUAAUCCUCUCCAUACUUCAGUAGAUUACCAGCCUUUAUUAUCCCUCCUCAGUUGUCACUAGCACAGGUUUAAUCCCUUCCCCAGCUUCUCAUUUCACUGCUGAAUUACUCCAAACUUAUGCAAGUAUCAGACAAUUGACUUGCAUGGUCAUCUGAACCUAGCUAUAGCAGUUACGCAAGGAGGAGGAAAAAACACAUUUCUGGAUUAUCUCGUGACGCUUUGCUGAUGCACACAUUUUUAUUGACUUCUGCUGGAUCAAUUUUUGAUGUCUGUGUAGGUUUUUUUUUUUAAGCAGACGCCAGCAAAUUUAUUUGGGAUUGACAACCUAGAUGUGUAGAGAGAUACAGUAGCACAGAUGUCACAGCAAUGAGACGCAAGGACACCAAGGAAGAUGAAAAUCUCGUGAUAUGGAAGGAGCGUGAGAAAUCAGAUUCAAGUCCAUGAAGGCAUUCGUGACCCUGUGAGUUAAAGACGUUGGUGACUCUUUGUAGGACUGAAGACUCAACUAGCAAAAAGAACUUAUGAAUUCAAAUACGUUUGAACAAAUAGCUCUCAACUCCUUCUAUAUAAACUUUUUUUUUUUUUCCCCCCCCACAUAUGAGACUUUCUAUUUUUGUUUGUCUCAUUUUUGACCAAACCUUUGUUUUGGUUGAAUGUCUUGAAUUUCCUUUGUUGUGAUUGAGAAGAUACUUCCAAAAAAGGAAAGAAAGGAAAACUCAGUGGCUUUUUUCUCUGGCUGACUUUAUUUCAUAGUAAAUGAAGAGGAUUUAUUUUUGUGCACGCUUGUAUAUUAUUUCUGAAGAGCUACAGAAUAUCAGGGAAAUAAACAGAUUGCCC